UUGACAAAGAACCCAGGAAUGGCGUUAAAGGCUUCUUUGGGCAGUGUCCAAUUUAUGUAGCAAUUUUCUUGCCCACAUCUGCGGAGCUUUUGUGAAACUCGUGUAGACUCAUGGAGCAUCCAAGUGAGGUAACAUCACCAUCAGUGCUCCUUCCCUGGCUCACUGCCUCGGGAAACCAACCUGACCCUGAAGGUAUGUAAGUCUCAGGCCCCACAAAUUUGGAUCCAACCUUGAGUAGUUGCUUUUUCAUUGAGUUCUGUGGAGCUCAGAUUCCUGUGGAGGGUAGCAGAAGGGAAACUUCAAUUACAGCACAUAUGGUCUGAUCUGUUCUACAUAUUAAAGUUCAUACUAUUUUCUUUGUGAUAAAUGAAGGGUGUUCUGCUGC